UUUGUGAAAAAACUGGUUAGAGAAAUAUUAUUUAAACAUUUUGAGCGAAUUCAAAAAUAAUAUUUCAAACAGGUGUUGCUCUAUUUAUUUAUUUAGAUGUAAUAUCGAGCUAUUUUUUUUGUAUGUGGAUGCAAGCGCUACACUGUUAGAGCUAGCACAAGUAAAGCUCACACGCAACCUGAGCAGUUCAUUUUCAUCACUUCAUCGGUUGAAAUGUAAUUGGCAGGAUGAGUUUGAAAGGCGUUAAAUUGGAACAAACUGGCUGGCGAGAAGAAAUCCUCUGAGUUACAUUCAGGCCUCUCGUAAAUAGACAAACAACAAGGAGCACUGCACAUCGGAAACUUUUUUGACUUGGGGGAAUUAAAACUGAGUUCAUGAGUAGAUGGGUGCAUAAUGAUUUCGUCGUCUGGAAACUCACUGUCCUGAUAAUUUAAGUGCACACGUUAUGGACGGCCACGUGACCACAAAGAUCAGCAAUUCAAACUCAAUCAAUGAAAUCCCUUUGCGUGAUAAGAACCCGCAGGGCUUUCAAGUGGAGGCUGCUGGCUACGAAACGACGUACAUUCUCAAAGAUGUCAAAAAGAAAGAAG